rnacentral:ncRNA from 1 species
UUAGAUUUUUCCCAAGGUGAAAGAACUAAAAUAUUCUGUUUUAGACACUGGGCUGGGAUGGUUUAGUCAGGGGUGAUACUACCUUGAGCAUGGGGCUGGACUAGAUGGCUUUGUGAGAUCCCAUCCAGCCCUACUUUCCUAGAAUGCCCCUGUGGCAGCAAUGACCCAUUUGAAUGUCUGCCCUAUCAACUUUCAAUGGUACUUUCUGUGCCUACCAUGGUGACAACAGGUGACAGGGAAUCAGGGUUCAAUUCUA